rnacentral:rRNA from 1 species
UAAAGGGCACGUAGGCGGUCCCGUACGCCCCACCUGAAAGGCUCUGGCUUAACCAGAGCAGGCGGUGGGGGACUGCGGGACUGGAGGGUGGGAGAGGCGAGUGGAAUUCCCGGUGUAAGGGUGAAAUCCGUAGAUAUCGAGAGGAACACCAAUGGCGAAGGCAGCUAUCUGGAUCGUAACUGACACUCAUGAGCGAAAGUGCGGGGAGCAAACAGGAUUAGAUACCCUGGUAGUCCGCACCGUAAACGUUGUAUACUAGUUGUUGGCGGUUUCAACGCCGUCAGUGACGACGCUAACGCAUUAAGUAUACCGCCUGGGGAGUAUGCUCGCGAGGGUGAAACUCAAAGAAAUUGACGGGGGCCCGCACAAGCGGUGGAGCAUGUGGUUUAAUUCGACGAUACGCGAGAAACCUUACCUGGGUUUGACAUGGAUUUGACUGGGGUAGAGAUACCCCUUCCCGCAAGGGCAGAUUCACAGGUGUUGCAUGGUCGUCGUCAGCUCGUGUUGUGAGAUGUUGGGUUAAGUCCCGCAACGAGCGCAACCCUUGUCCUUAGUUGCCAUCAUUUAGUUGGGCACUCUAAGGAGACUGCCGGUGACAAACCGGAGGAAGGCGGGGAUGACGUCAAGUCAUCAUGGCCCUUAUGGGCAGGGCUACACACGUGCUACAAUGGCCGGUACAAAGGGUUGCCAACCCGCAAGGGGGAGCUAAUCCCGUAAAACCGGUCGUAGUCCGGAUUGGAGUCUGCAACUCGACUCCAUGAAGUCGGAAUCGCUAGUAAUCGCGGAUCAGCAUGCCGC